rnacentral:rRNA from 1 species
AUUGAACGCUGGCGGAAUGCUUUACACAUGCAAGUCGAACGGCAGCACGGACUUCGGUCUGGUGGCGAGUGGCGAACGGGUGAGUAAUGUAUCGGAACGUGCCCAGUCGUGGGGGAUAACGUAGUGAAAAUUACGCUAAUACCGCAUACGAUCUAUGGAUGAAAGCGGGGGAUCGCAAGACCUCGCGCGAUUGGAGCGGUCGGUAUCGGAUUAGGUAGUUGGUGGGGUAAAGGCCCACCAAGCCAACUAUCUGUAGCUGGUCUGAGAGGACGACCAGCCACACUGGAACUGAGACACGGUCCAGACUCCUACGGGAGGCAGCAGUGGGGAAUUUUGGACAAUGGGCGAAAGCCUGAUCCAGCCAUUCCGCGUGCAGGAUGAAGGCCCUCGGGUUGUAAACUGCUUUUGUACAGAACGAAAAGGUUUCUACUAAUACUAGGAGCUCAUGACGGUACUGUAAGAAUAAGCACCGGCUAACUACGUGCCAGCCGCCGCCGUAA